UACGAAGGGUGCAAGCGUUACUCGGAAUUACUGGGCGUAAAGCGUGCGUAGGUGGUGGUUUAAGUCUGCUGUGAAAGCCCUGGGCUCAACCUGGGAAUUGCAGUGGAUACUGGAUCACUAGAGUGUGGUAGAGGGAUGCGGAAUUUCUGGUGUAGCAGUGAAAUGCGUAGAGAUCAGAAGGAACAUCCGUGGCGAAGGCGGCAUCCUGGGCCAACACUGACACUGAGGCACGAAAGCGUGGGGGAGCAAACAGG
rnacentral:rRNA from 1 species